rnacentral:rRNA from 1 species
GGUGAACGCUGGCGGCGUGCUUAAGACAUGCAAGUCGAACGGCAGUCUUCGGACUGUAGUGGCGCACGGGUGAGUAACGCGUAAUUGACCUACCCCAAAGUCGCGGAUAACGAUUCGAAAGAAUCGCUAAUACGUGAUGUGCUGUCAGAUUGUGUUCUGCCAGUAAAGAUUGAUUGCUUUGGGAUGGGGUUGCGUUCCAUCAGCUAGUUGGUGGGGUAAAGGCCCACCAAGGCGACGACGGAUAGCCGGCCUGAGAGGGUGGCCGGCCACAGGGGCACUGAGACACGGGUCCCACUCCUACGGGAGGCGGCAGUUAGGAAUCUUCCACAAUGGGCGAAAGCCUGAUGGAGCGACGCCGCGUGAGGGAUGAAGGUCUUCGGAUCGUAAACCUCUGAAUCAGGGACGAAAGACACUUCGGUGGGAUGACGGUACCUGAGUAAUAGCACCGGCUAACUCCGUGCCAGCAGCCGCCGUAACAC